ensembl:snRNA U6 U6 spliceosomal RNA
GUGCUCACUUCAGCAGCACAUACAUUAAAACUGGAAUGAUACAGAGAAGACUAGCAUGGUCCCUGUGCAAGGAUGACAUGCAAAUUGGUGAAGGGUUCCAUAUUUUU